AGUAUUCUAUCCUAUUUAUUUUCAUGCAUUUUAUCAUUCUUACUUAAAAAAAAUAAAUAUUUAUUAGCAUUUCCCUUUAGCAUAUAUGCUUCAUGUAUGUUUAUAUCCCUCAUGGAAAUUAUGACUAGUUGCUUGUUAAUGUUUCUCUAGUGCCUAGUAUACAACUUAGUAUUUCUCUAAGUAUGGAUCACUUAGCUCACUUAAACUGCCAUGAACCUAAAAACUUUGUGGGUUGCAAGUGCUAGAACUAAGUCUAAGUUGUUGUGGGACAUGAGAUAGUAAGGCAAGAGCUAUUAUAAUAUUUUUCUAAGCAUGCAUGAUUAUCAGAGAUUAUUCUUAAAAUGAUCAAAACCUUAAUUGUUCCUCAAUGGUGAUGAAUUCCUACCACAGCCAUAUCUACUUUACAUAAUUGCAACCUUUCCACAUAAGCUAUUUGCUUUGUGUUGAGUGUCGUCAAGUCUUGUUGACCCUUGUUAAGAGACUUUUCAUGCUCCUAAGAUCAAGAUCACGUACACACCACAUAUAUAUAUGCUGCUUCUACACUGGAAGUACGCAACCACAUGUAUUUCGCAUCCACUAAAUAGGUUGCUCCAUACUCUAAAUGUUAGAACAUCUCUCUAAGUAUUAUUUGGUAAAUGAGACAUCAAAAGGCUAGGCAAAAUGAAAUAAAAAGAUGGACAUGUGCAAGUCCACAGAAAAAGAAAAUUGAGCACAUGAAAGCUCAUAUAUAAAAAAAAAGAAGAAAAAAAAUGCUAGCCAUGUCUCAAUACAUAGAGAGUCUAUCAAAUAAAGGAGCAACCUAGUCCACCAUAUAUCACACUUGCACAUCUUGAUCUGGGAGUAUGACACUUCUCUUCAAGGAUCCGAGCUUUGACUUCGCAAUACAUGCAAAGUAAGUAUGCUAUCUCCUUUCAUCCCUACCUUGAACUCCACAUAAGCCUUUUAGAAAUAGGAUGAAAUAGAGAAGGCAACUCUUACCAUAUGCCUUGGUGAGGAAUCAUACACCAUUUGAGUGACAUGAGAGAACCAUAAGAGGAACAUUUAAGCUUUCUUUUGAAAAUAUCACAAAACCUCUGAUAUGAAACUUGCUAAGAAUGAGAAAGUUAGUGCUCAAGUCAAACUGUUCUGUCUCUCAACCACCUAAGACAAAGGAAAAGCCAUAACCCCCAUAAGGGACUAAGGUAAUAGGGGUAAGUUUACAUAGCUAAAUUUUUCAUGCAAAGAGAAGAACUUUGUUGUACACAUGGUACUCUUCAAAUGUGAACAUAGUAACAAUACCUGAUCCACCGAGGCUAAGUUUGAUUGUUUGCUCGGGACGAGCAAAGGUUAAGCUUGGGGGAUCUUGUUGACGGUGGAUAUACCAUAGAAAUCCACAUACAAAACACCGUCAACAUGCCUCGGUUGCAAGGGGAAACGACAUGACAUGAACAUAUUUUAUCCAUAACUAGUUCCACUUGUACUCUUAGCUUGUUUAUGCAGGAACAACAAAUUCAAGACAUUAUUUGACAAAGCCAACAUCAGAAUCAUCAAGAGGAGAUCGAGGGGACAACAGGUGACACCCUGGGCCC
rnacentral:lncRNA from 1 species